GAUGAACGCUAGCGGCAGGCCUAACACAUGCAAGUCGAGGGGUAAGGCUUCUUCGGAGAGCACACGACCGGCGCACGGGUGAGUAACGCGUAUGUAACCUUCCUCUUUCAGGAAGAUAGCUCCCGGAAACGGGAAUUAAUAUUCCAUAGUCCAUAAUAAUCACAUGAUUAGUAUGGUAAAGUUCCGACGGAAAGAGAUGGACAUGCGUGUCAUUAGUUAGUUGGUGAGGUAACGGCUCACCAAGACGACGAUGACUAGGGGUUCUGAAAGGAUGAUCCCCCACACUGGUACUGAGACACGGACCAGACUCCUACGGGAGGCAGCAGUGAGGAAUAUUGCGCAAUGGAGGCAACUCUGACGCAGCCAUGCCGCGUGCAGGAGGACGGCCCUACGGGUUGUAAACUGCUUUUCUUAACUAAGAACCGUGGAUAAUCUUAUCCACCUGACUGGUUUUGGAAUAAGCAUCGGCUAACUCCGUGCCAGCAGCCGCGGUAAUACGGAGGAUGCAAGCGUUAUCCGGAUUCACUAGGUUUAAAGGGUGCGUAGGCGGAAUAAUAAGUCAGUGGUGAAAUCUUGCGGCUCAACCGUAAAAUUGCCAUUGAUACUGUUAUUCUUGAGUAUGGUUGAGGUAGGCGGAAUGAGUAAUGUAGCGGUGAAAUGCUUAGAUAUUACUCAGAACACCGAUUGCGUAGGCAGCUUACCAAGCCAUCACUGACGCUGAGGCACGAAAGCGUGGGUAGCAAAUAGGAUUAGAUACCCUGGUAGUCCACGCCGUAAACGUUGAUUACUCGUUGUUGGCAAUACACCGUCAGCGACUGAGCAAAAGCAUUAAGUAAUCCACCUGGGGAGUACGUCAGCAAUGAUGAAACUCA
rnacentral:rRNA from 1 species